rnacentral:lncRNA from 1 species
AUUACUAAUAGUCAUAUGAUUUGCCUCUAGUUUGAGAUAUAAUGUGCUUUAAAUUUUUCCAAGAAUUCUUUACUGAUCUUCAAUGUUGAUGUUCCCAUUUGUUUCCAUAGAAGCCAGAUUUAUGACAAUUUCCUGCAUCACAUCUCUGUAGAAAUUCUGGGAAGGAUCUAGCAAAGCCCACUUCUGUUGGGUGAAGGUUGCAGCCACAUCUUCAAAGGCAACUAAGUCCAUAUUCCAGAUUCCUGUGUGUCCUGGCAUCCUCCCCAUGCAUCUCCCAGUACCUGCCAGUCACAGAGUGACAAAGGACAUGCCAUGGCAGAACUCCCUGGGCCUCCUACAGUGAAGAAGAAGGAGUCGUGAAGACUGACUGAGCAACGGACAUGUGGGCAUGAAAGACCUGAGUAGAUUUAUUUAUUGAAAUAAAACCAUGCAGUUCAUUGAAUCAAAGUCCUGAACACAGAAAACAGGUCAGGAAGACAUCGCAGAGCACAGUCAGCUACAAAGCCAUUUUUGGGGGGAAGACAAUAAAGAUGUCAAAAUAUUAUUUCUUCUAUCACCCCAAAGCACAGGAAAAAGUGAUGAGCUCAGCAUCAUUGGACAGUUCUUGAUUCCCUGGAUAAACUUGUUCAAAUGACUGUAGGGGAAUUGAUCAGGUAAAGGAGAAAAGAUCAGUGGAAUUCAGUGAAGUCUCACGUCUGUUAGUCACUGGGAACGUUGGAAACAUGACCACUUUGACCUAGUUUGUUUUAGACAGUUAUAUCCUCCUUGAUGGAUCCAAAUGCCUUUUUAAGCAUACUUCAUUUCUAGUACCACUAUUAGCCAGAAAACCAUGCAUGUUGAAAAAUAACUUUAAGUCAGAUCUGAGUUUUCAAAAAAAGAGAAAAGAUUAAAUGAUUGAAGAAUCUGAUGGAUCAAAAGAAGAUAGUUCAUGAAUUCCAGGCUCAGGUCACUGGAUUCUGUCCAGCUGUCUCCUUUCUCCAG